UGAGUGGCGGACGGGUGAGUAACACGUGGGUAACCUGCCCUAAAGUGGGGGAUAACAUUUGGAAACAGAUGCUAAUACCGCAUAAAACCUAGCACCGCAUGGUGCAAGGUUGAAAGAUGGUUUCGGCUAUCACUUUAGGAUGGACCCGCGGUGCAUUAGUUAGUUGGUGAGGUAAAGGCUCACCAAGACCGUGAUGCAUAGCCGACCUGAGAGGGUAAUCGGCCACACUGGGACUGAGACACGGCCCAGACUCCUACGGGAGGCAGCAGUAGGGAAUCUUCCACAAUGGACGAAAGUCUGAUGGAGCAACGCCGCGUGAGUGAAGAAGGUUUUCGGAUCGUAAAACUCUGUUGUUGGAGAAGAACGUAUUUGAUAGUAACUGAUCAGGUAGUGACGGUAUCCAACCAGAAAGCCACGGCUAACUACGUGCCAGCAGCCGCGGUAAUACGUAGGUGGCAAGCGUUGUCCG
rnacentral:rRNA from 1 species